UACGGAGGAUCCAAGCGUUAUCCGGAUUCAUUGGGUUUAAAGGGUGCGUAGGCGGAAUGAUAAGUCAGUGGUGAAAUCCUACAGCUUAACUGUAGAAUUGCCAUUGAUACUGUCAAUCUUGAGUACAUUUGAUGUGGGCGGAAUGUGUCAUGUAGCGGUGAAAUGCUUAGAUAUGACACAGAACACCGAUUGCAAAGGCAGCUCACAAAACUGUAACUGACGCUGAGGCACGAAAGCGUGGGUAUCAAACAGG
rnacentral:rRNA from 1 species